rnacentral:rRNA from 1 species
AGCAGCCGCGGUAAUUCCAGCUCCAAUAGCGUAUAUUAAAGUUGUUGCAGUUAAAAAGCUCGUAGUUGAAUUUCGGGGUUCUACCGUUGGUCAGGCUAUUGUCUGUACUGGCGUGUAGAAUUUCUACCUUCUGGGGAACUAUCAUGUUAUUAAUUUAGCGUGGUAGGAAACCAGGACCUUUACCUUGAAAAAAUUAGAGUGUUCAAAGCAGGCUUAUGUCUGAAUACAUUAGCAUGGAAUAAUAAAAUAGGACGGUGGUCCUGUUUUGUUGGUUUCUGAAUCACCGUAAUGAUUAAUAGGGAUAGUUGGGGGCAUUAGUAUUCAAUUGUCAGAGGUGAAAUUCUUGGAUUUAUUGAAGACUAACUACUGCGAAAGCAUUUGCCAAGGAUGUUUUCAUUAAUCAAGAACGAAAGUUAGGGGAUCGAAGACGAUCAGAUACCGUCGUAGUCUUAACCAUAAACCUAUGCCGAUAGGGAUCGGACGAUGUUAACUUUCUUGUACUCGUUCGGCGUCCUUACGG